rnacentral:tRNA from 1 species
GGAUAGCUCAGUUGGUAGAGCACGAGACUCAAGGUCAUGGGUUCGAGCCCCAUGUUGGGCA